UAUGUCUCACUUGAUGUUCCUCAAACUGAAGUGACAAACUUUGCACAGUUUCCUGCUAAGACAUCUUAGAUCAUGUUGUACAUGUUCAACUGCCAUUUUACAUGAUGGGUGAAUAUCAGUUGUAAACAAGUAUGGAGAAAAGACAGCGUGAGGAAACAUUAGAGGGCUCCAGAUCACAGAAGUCAACAUUAACAGGAACACUGACACUGAAGAACUUCACCAUACCCAGGAGGAAACGGACCUCAGUAGAAGUCCUUUUGGAAUGUUGUUCAGAGGAAAGCCGUGACUACAACCUCAUUCAGACAAAACUUAGAGAUGCCAAGCUGGACACUAGAAAGGACCGAGCAAAUGCAUGGGUCUGGAAAGAUGUUCAUUUAGUUAACAAUGAGGAGCUUCUUAAAAUGUUCUCUGAAAAAAGUGACUACAGGGCAGAGAUGCGUACUAAAGGAAGACAUGGGAGAGAAAGGGAAGAAAUAUUUAGUUUUUUAGUAGCAUCGGACCAAAUGGCAGCCCAGAUUUAUCAGCACGGUUUACAGGUUGGCAGCACAGUCCAGUAUGCCUUGGGAAAGCCAUCACAUGGAGUAUAUCUCUUUAGGCAUGUCGAUGUGGCUCUAAGUUCUUAUACCAGCAUAUUAAGUGCAAAAAAAAAAAGGUUCUUGAUGGAAAGGUGAAAAAAAUUGCCCCAAGCCUGGAAUGGAACAAAACACAAGAUCCUACUGUGGGCUUUGACUGUCACAUGUGUAAAGAUGCAGUGUCCCAUCGAGACACUCUUCACCAGCAAUAUCAGAAUAUCAAAUUAUCCAAUCAAAAAGACUGGAUAAUCAACACGAGUCUUAAUAAACCAUUGUUCUUC